rnacentral:lncRNA from 1 species
AGAAGACCAGGAAAGAAUCUUCUUUUAAAAAACUGAGCUCUAUCUGUCCUGAUUCCUGGUGCUGCUUCAGGCUUUUGAUAUUAUGAGAGUGACACAUGGCAGAGAACACAGCCUGAUUGAAGAUUUGAUUCUACUUUUAGAAGAAUGCGACGCCAACAUCAGAGCAUCCUAAGGGAACGCAGUCAGAGGGAAAUACGGCGUGUGUCUUUGUUGAAUGCCUUAUUGAGGUCACACACUCUAUGCUUUGUUAGCUGUGUGAACCUCUCCUAUUGGAAAUUCUGUUCCGUGUUUGUGUAGGUAAAUAAAGGCAGACAUGGUUUGCAAACCACAAGAAUCAUUAGUUGUAGAGAAGCACGAUUAUAAUAAAU